rnacentral:rRNA from 1 species
UACGGGGGGUGCGAGCGUUAAUCGGAAUAACUGGGCGUAAAGGGCACGCAGGCGGUCUUUUAAGUGAGGUGUGAAAUCCCCGGGCUUAACCUGGGAAUUGCAUCUGAUACUGGGAGGCUUGAGUACUGUAGAGGGGGGUAGAAUUCCACGUGUAGCGGUGAAAUGCGUAGAGAUGUGGAGGAAUACCGAUGGCGAAGGCAGCCCCUUGGGAAUGUACUGACGCUCAUGUGCGAAAGCGUGGGGAGCAAACAGG